UUAUUAGGUGUAAAGUGUGUCGGGAAGGAACUUAGGAUCAGCCAUGAGGGAUGGAAUAAUCUUCUCAGAGGCUCCAAUAUUCCACUCAGAGUCCAGUGUGGUGGAAUAGACAACUAUGAAUUUCAAUUUGGCUGGUCCAUUUUGUUUGGACGUUUUUCUUUGAAGGCUCACGGAGUCUACCUCCUUGCACAGACGACUAAUGAGAGAUAUUAUGAUCAUGAGUGGCAAUUGGAGAAGAAACUUGAGCUAAAGAGACAGCUCGUACGGAGGUUUGAGCAACUGGAAGGGAAAGCAAGAUCAACAGAGACCCAGGAGAUUGGCAUCAUAGCCAGGAUUCUUGUUAAACUGUUAAUAAAACUGAUCAGAAACAUUGAGAUAUCAUUACAUGAUGUACAUGUCAGAAUCGAUGAUGAGCUUUCUCUGAUCAAUGGGGCAUGCUCUGCAGGAUUUGCU